GGCGGAAGAGAGCAGGGCCCUGGGCAGGUGCUGAGCCAGGUCCUGCAGGUCACCCAGUCGCUUGAGUCCACGAAUGCUGGAGGCAGGCACUGGAGAGCCAGGGUGGUUCAGCCGCAGCUCCUCUGAGCAGGGAGUCAAACAGGGCUGAAACAGACACCAGCUCUCCAGGACCAGCUGCUCCAGGAAUCAACCUCUACCCUGAACCAGGUCCCUGAGGACCACCACGUGGCUGCAACACAGCAGGAGUUCACAGUCCAGAGGAGAAGCCCGAUGCUGAACAGAGAAUCACAUCCGUGAGCAACACAAAAGGCAAGGCAAACCCUGGGCAGAUGCCCCCGGGACUGUGUGUUAUGGGCCUACAGGAAGCCUCUCCCAAUGAAAAAGCAAUUUUUCAGCCAGAACCUCCACCAGUGUCUUUCAAACUGAGCCUGGACCUGUGGCCUUCCCUGCCUCCACCUGGGCCUCAACCGUCACGACCACCUGGCCUUUGAGUUUCCUCCUUUGUAAAAUAGGUCUCAUAGAACUCAUCCCCAAAAGUCCUUGUGAAGAUUUAGUUUGUAAGCCAGAUGUCUGCAGACCUCCAGUAAAAGAAUAUGUUUUUGGUAUUAAAAUCAAAUGGCUCACGCUGUGUCUCAGAGCUGCAACGAUCCAACGCCCUCCAUCCUUCAGAGGCUGUCUGAGUCCGGGGACACAACUCCCACCCUCCUCUCCUGCCAGCCGCGGCCCGUGGCUGCUCUCUUCACUUCGUCCCGCUUCGCCCCGACUGUGGAUCUACCCGCUCCCUUCUCCCUCAGUCCCCAAAGCACCAGACUCACAGGCCUGCUGUGUGACCCACUUUUACCGACCUUUCGGGGAGAGUAGAGGGCAUUUGUGACUCAGCUCAGAGCAGGAAACACAUCUCACGUCAACUGUCAGACAGCGCUGCUCCGAAUCCCAUCACAGUGCUCCAGCAGGGGGCGUCCUCACCGGCCGCGGCCACAGCCACGGCUCAACCCGGCCUAGCUCCCAGACACCCUCCUUCCACCGCCUGUUUUCCACCGUCCCCGCCUGCUCUUUCAAGCCAGCAGCAAACAACACCCUAAUCCGUGUCUUUAUUAUUCAAAGACCUUAAGCACUCUUUCCCACCUCGUUCCCAUCUUGAUUAUUUCAGGGAAUGAAUUAGGGAUUCACCUUUACAAUCAAAAAAGUUCUCUCAAAGCCAGGCUACUGGAGUUCUAAUUCUGCCUUCCCACUUUUACUAGCUGUGAAAUCUCAGGAAAGUUACUUAACCUCUCUCUGUCUCAUUUUCCUCAUCUUUAAAAAACAGGAUGAUAAUAUUUAGCUCCUAAGAUGGUUGUGAGGAUUUAAGUGAGCUGAUAUAUCCAAGAAUGUCUAGAACAGCGCGUGGCAGAAUGGGCAUUGCAUAUGGGUUUAAUCUUGUAACUGCCAUGUUUCACCAAUUCUAAGGUGUAUCUCGUUUCUCAUCAUAAGAGCUCUUCCGCUCGUGUGGCAGCUGGGAGUGGCCGUCAUUGCCUGCGCAUACCUAAACUUGGUCAGCAGCCAAGUGUUUUGUGAGACCUAAGAAAGGAAGAGCCCCAUAAGUAAAUGGAACUGUUGUGUUGUUUUAUUACCGAGAAAAGGGCAGAAUGAUUGCUAGUCACACGUGAAGCAAGAAAACCCCGGCAAUAAAGCUUGCAGAAUGAGUGGCUGAGGCUUGAAAAUAAAUGGUGGAAACAAUAGUGGACAAUCUUUUAAAGAAUGGCACAUUGCCAAUGCUCCUGAUGGCACAGAAGGUGACACCAUGCAGAAAAUCAAGGCUCUGAGUCAAAGAGGGUUUCAGAAAAAUUGGACUCUGAAUGUGAAGAAAUCUGGGGACUAUUUUAGCCAAUUUGUUUUGCCUAUAAUUUCCUUUUAUGCAUGCAAAAGAGCAAUUCUGACUUUAAAGACUGAUAUCUAAAUAAAUCUAAAAUAUCUUUUUUGUGUGUGUGUCUGUGAUACAGUGUCUCGCCCUUUCACCCAGGCUGGAGUGCAGUAGUGCAAUCUCAGCUCACU
rnacentral:lncRNA from 10 species